GACAGAGGGUGCAAACGUUGUUCGGAAUUACUGGGCGUAAAGCGCGUGUAGGCUGCUUGGAAAGUCGGAUGUGAAAGCCCUGGGCUCAACCUAGGAAGUGCAUUCGAAACUUCUGAGCUUGAGUUCUGGAGAGGAAGGCGGAAUUCUCGGUGUAGAGGUGAAAUUCGUAGAUAUCGAGAGGAACACCGGUGGCGAAGGCGGCCUUCUGGACAGUGACUGACGCUGAGGAGCGAAAGCGUGGGGAGCGAACAGG
rnacentral:rRNA from 1 species